rnacentral:rRNA from 1 species
AUACGGAGGAUCCGAGCGUUAUCCGGAUUUAUUGGGUUUAAAGGGUGCGCAGGCGGGAGAUUAAGUCGGCGGUGAAAUUUUUCAGCUCAACUGUAAAAGUGCCUUCGAAACUGGGUUCCUUGAGUGUAGAUGAAGUAGGUGGGAUUUGUGGUGUAGGGGUGAAAUGCAUAGAUAUCACGAGGAACUCCGAUUGCGCAGGCAGCUUACUAAACUACUACUGACGCUCAGGCACGAAGGCGUGGGGAUCAAACAGGAUUAGAUACCCUGGUAGUCCACGCAGUAAACGAUGAUUACUAGCUGUUUGCGAUACAAUGUAAGCGGCUGAGCGAAAGCGUUAAGUAAUCCACCUGGGGAGUACGUUCGCAAGAAUGAAACUCAAAGGAAUUGGCGGGG